AGUGGCGGACGGGUGAGUAACACGUGGGAACGUGCCUUUAGGUUCGGAAUAACUCAGGGAAACUUGUGCUAAUACCGAAUGUGCCCUUCGGGGGAAAGAUUUAUCGCCUUUAGAGCGGCCCGCGUCUGAUUAGCUAGUUGGUGAGGUAAAGGUUCACCAAGGCGACGAUCAGUAGCUGGUCUGAGAGGAUGAUCAGCCACAUUGGGACUGAGACACGGCCCAAACUCCUACGGGAGGCAGCAGUGGGGAAUCUUGCGCAAUGGGCGAAAGCCUGACGCAGCCAUGCCGCGUGAAUGAUGAAGGUCUUAGGAUUGUAAAAUUCUUUCACCGGGGACGAUAAUGACGGUACCCGGAGAAGAAGCCCCGGCUAACUUCGUGCCAGCAGCCGCGGUAAUACGAAGGGGGCUAGCGUUGCUCGGAAUUACUGGGCGUAAAGGGAGCGUAGGCGGACAUUUAAGUCAGGGGUGAAAUCCCGGGGCUCAACCUCGGAAUUGCCUUUGAUACUGGGUGUCUUGAGUGUGAGAGAGGUAUGUGGAACUCCGAGUGUAGAGGUGAAAUUCGUAGAUAUUCGGAAGAACACCAGUGGCGAAGGCGACAUACUGGCUCAUUACUGACGCUGAGGCCCGAAAGCGUGGGGAGCGAGCAGGAUUAGAUACCCUGGUAGUCCACGCCGUAAACGAUGAUUGCUGGUUGUCGGGA
rnacentral:rRNA from 1 species